UUACUGGGAUUACAGGUGAUAGAAUUGAAGCUCUGAAGUGAACAACUUGCCCAUUUCUAACUGGCCGGAAUAAUUUCUACCUUGCUUUUACUGGCACCCCAGCAUCCCUUGUUACCUUGAUCUACUCUUGUCUCACUUGAUCCUGGACUAAUUCACUAUCUACUUUCUUUGAUCCCAAUCCUGGAGGAGCUGGCUUGAAACCCAGGCAGUCUGAUAGCAGGGCAAAACUGUAUAUAUCUAAAAGCACUAGUAACAAAAAAAAACAAGUGUGGAUGUUAGCCCCUUGGAAGUCAGAAUGGGAAAGGGUCUGCUUACUGUGAGGAGAACAGAGGGUGGGGGACUAAAACUGGAUUCUAGAAACCCACAAGAACCCAGGACAAUAAGCUUUCAGAGCCUUUUGUUACUCAGUCCCACUCCUUUAUCUACCUUAUAAUCUCAUACAAUAGAGGACUUCCCUAAAUAGACUUCCCUGCCUUUUCAGUUCUUUAUUAUCCCCCGAAAUGCCUGAAGCCCACUCCUAAUCUGAAUGUAGCUAUCCCAUUCCCAAAAUAUUCCUUUCCCUGAGAAAGGCCCAAGGAUUUUCAGGCUUACCUCCAAGAGUCAGGAAGGAAAGCUACAUAGUACACCUCAUUAAACUUCAAUAUAGAAGCUCUGCAGAAAAGCAAGAGAUUUUCAGCCCUAUGCUCAAAAACAGUAACACCCCCCCCCACUCCAGUGAGAGCAGAACUUAGCCAGUUUUGAAGUUCCUGAUGGUUUCUCCCCCUGAAUCAAGUAGCAGGUUCCUGGCACUAGGACCCUGCAGACAGGGAACCCUGAGCCUGCGCUCUAAAGAGAGAGAUGCACCAUUUCACAACUUCAGCAAAAGCCAAAGCAGCCAACAAAGCCACAGCCACCUCAGCUGUGCUGGGCUCUACUGGAUGUGCUGGGCUCUACUGUUUGAGCAGCUCAUCGGCCACUCCCCAGAAGCAGAUCACUCGGUCUUUCCCUUUUUAAACCCACGUCAUCAUCUGAUCGUAAUAGAAAUCAAUCUCAAAUACCAUGCAAAGGCGUAUCCAUGGCAACCUCCAGAGGAAGGACACAGAGAUGAUGCUCCAGUGGCUGCAGCAGAAAAAGCUCAGGCUCUGGCAAUAUACCAGGCAAAGAAUGUCAACCUCUACCUAAUAGCUCUUGGACUCUCAGUACUUUAAGUAUACCAGAGUAGCAAACGGUCAGUAAAGGCUUGCUGCUGUCUUCACUGAAAUAAAUGAGGUACCCGCCUGGCUUAGAAGUGGUCGCCAAGCUCGGCGGAGAAAACAUCGAUCAGGCACACAGCUGGACAACUAGGGCAUGAUAAGCGCGUGCGCAGUGAGCCUGGGAAGCUGAUAAGGACCUUCGUUGAGAGGUGCUUCGUGGCCAGCGCCCUCCGUCGGCGAAGGGAAGACUGUGUAGAAGAUUUGGAGAACCUUUUACAAGCUUUUGAGUGCUAAACUGCCAGUUAAAACAGUAGCAAUAAAACAUAUUUUGUUGGCUAGGUUGGAGAAAAACAUAAAUUUUGCUGCUACUCAGUGUCAGCCAUCAUGUGUGGAUGGAAACAUGCCUUUUUGAUGGUAAUAUAAAAUAAUUCAAAUUUUCAUAAUGGCAUUUGGAGCUUUUAUAUUCUAAAAAAUUAAACUUCUUGACUCAAUGUGCCCGCUUCUAAUAAUGUAACCUAAAUAAAUAACCAAAUAAGUUUGCAAAAAUGUUUGUAUAAAGAUGUUGGGAGAGCCAGGAUUUUACAGACAUGGGCUCGAAUUCUAACUGCAAUUUACUAGCUAGGUGAGAUCUUGGGCCAGUUACCUAACUUCUCCAUGCCUCUGUUUCCUCAAUUUGUAAAUGAGGAUGUUAAUGAUCCUCGUUUGAGGAUGUGAUGAUAGUAUCUAUUUCACCUGAUUGUUAGGAGAAUGGAGUGAAUCUGAGUUUGAAAUAUAACUAUUACAAAGAUA